AGGGCUAAUACCGGAUGUGGUUCCUAAAUUUCAUGAUUAAGGAAUUAAAGAUGACCUCUUCUUGAAAGUUAUUGUUUGGAGAUGGGCUUGCGGUCCAUUAGCUUGUUGGUAGGGUAACGGCCUACCAAGGCGAUGAUGGAUAGCCGACCUGAGAGGGUGAUCGGCCACAUUGGGACUGAGAUACGGCCCAGACUCCUACGGGAGGCAGCAGUAGGGAAUUUUGCGCAAUGGACGAAAGUCUGACGCAGCAACUCCGCGUGAGGGAUGAAUGCCUUCGGGUUGUAAACCUCUGUUGAGUGGGAAGAAAAAUCUUUGUGCUAAUAUCACAAAGACAUGACGGUACCAUUCAAGAAAGCUCCGGCUAACUACGUGCCAGCAGCCGCGGUAAUACGUAGGGAGCAAGCGUUGUUCGGAAUUACUGGGCGUAAAGGGAGCGCAGGCGGGAGAGUAAGUUAGAAGUGAAAUGUACCGGCCCAACCGGUGAUCUGCUUUUAAUACUGCUUUUCUUGAGUAUGGGAGAGGAAGAUGGAAUUCCAGGUGUAGCGGUGGAAUGCGUAGAUAUCUGGAAGAACACCAGUUGCGAAGGCGGUCUUCUGGCCCAAUACUGACGCUGAGGCUCGAAAGCUAGGGGAGCGAACAGGAUUAGAUACCCUGGUAGUCCUAGCCGUAAACGAUGGACACUAGAUGCUGGAGGCAUUUAGCCUUCAGUGUCGAAGCUAACGCAUUAAGUGUCCCGCCUGGGGAGUACGCUCGCAAGGGUGAAACUCAAAGGAAUUGACGGGGGCCCGCACAAGCGGUGGAGCAUGUGCUUUAAUUCGAUGCAACGCGAAGAACCUUACCUGGUCUUGACAUGGGAGUGAAAGCUUUUAGAGAUAAAGGCCCUUCCUUCGGGAACUCUCUACACAGGUGCUGCAUGGUUGUCGUCAGCUCGUGUCGUGAGAUGUUGGGUUAAGUCCCGCAACGAGCGCAACCCCUGUCCUUAGUUGCCAUCAGGUCAAGCUGGGAACUCUAAGGAGACUGCCUGGAUUAACCAGGAGGAAGGUGGGGAUGACGUCAAAUCCUCAUGGCCCUUACGACCAGGGCUA
rnacentral:rRNA from 1 species